AUCAAACCAGAGUCUGUAGCACUGUGAUGCAGUGCUUUAGACCGCUGCGCCACUCGGGAGUCAAAAUGCACUUCAUAUUUAUUCUGUAAUACAAAUGUCAAUUUAGCCCUAUCAAUAUAGGCUAAUUGUCACGAGUAUAAAGGGUUCAAAGUGUGUGUGAACGUGUACGAACACGCACACACACACAAACAGAGAGCCCGAAGGAACAAUAAGGCACCAGGCUGGGAGGAGCCCGUGUGUUGACAGGUGAGGGAUAGAGCGGUGUGGUCUGGGACACGGAGCCGAGAGAUGGGGAUGUUCUGCUCCUAAAGCAUGGCCUUGGCCUUCACACACAGCCAGGGGGCACUGCCAUGCCAGCUGCAACACACUGUGUCCUGCUUAUUACCCUCCGCUCUGUGUUUACGCAUACACACGGCUGUUACAUGCACUAAACACAGGCUGCAAACCAACCCAAAGACCGCGGGUCACAGUUAACGAGAACCACACUCGUGCUUGGACUUUAAUGAACUAGCUAAACAAUAUGUUCUGAUAUACACCACUCUCUCUCUGUGUCUGUGUGUGUGUCUCUCUCUCUCUCUCUCUCAAUCCCCCACAAGAUGAGAGGAUUUGAGGGACAGGGAUAGCAAGCUUUGGGACAAAGCCCUGCAUAGAUUGGUAUGAAUGGUGUAUGUGUAUGCGUGUGUGUUUUUGUUUCUCUGCUCCAGUGGGUGUGUGUGCGUGUGUGUUUUUGUUUCUCUGCUCCAGUGGGUGUGUGUGCGUGUGUGCGUGCGUGUUUUUGUUUCUCUGCUCCAGUGGGUGUGUGUGGAGAGUACAAUCAGUAAGCCACAGCUUGGAUGACAUGGUUCAUUAAACCUCUAAUGAAGGGCACCGACCGCUGGCAUCCAGCAUGUGAGGGCAUACCUGUGCCACCGCAGGAGGGGGUGCCAAGAACAGUACCCCCCCUGAUGCACAGGAAACAGGGACGAAGCAUGUCACCCUAAAGCCCUUCCUCAUUGUCCAAAGCAACAGGCAUUUUGGAGCUUGCUUUGAUUGAGUCAAGACCCAGCUCAAAUCUCCUUUUAAGGAAGACAGAAGAGCCAAAAAGGCAGGAUAGUGUUUAUGUUUUGGGGCUGAAAAACGGUGCAGGAAAGUUCCCAGAUCCAGAGUCCCUGGAGAGAUUGAUGACCACUGUGUUUUCUCUGAUACAUGGCAUAGAGGACUGACUGCAUGAAACAGCACUAGACAAUCCUUCAAACACAAACAGGGUCUAUGUGGGUUAGGAAGCAUGCUCACACUGGAGCUGCAGCUAUGAGACAAGCUAUCCAAACCUGCUUGACUGGAAGCCAGAAACGCUGAUGGAGAACAAACUGCAUCUGGCAAAAUGAAUUCUCAAUAAGAAACCAGUAAGCAAUGUUGUUGAUGAUUCUUUUCUCAGGAGACUUUCCAAGAACACUGAUUCGUUCUCGUGAGAGAGAAAAAGAACAUCAACAGCAACAGUCAUUUCAGCAUGUAAAUAAGCAACAGAAUAUAGCCAGCCGUUCAUGGACAUUCUCCUGAGAAACCAACAACCACCACGACGUUGUGCCUUUCAACUGUGGCUGCUCAUGACUUUCAUGAGUGAUAAUCAGCCUACAUUUGUCCUUUCAGAACGACCCGGUGUAACCUAAUUAGCAGACAAGACUGUGAAGAGGCACAACUCCUCAGGGGUUUCAGAUGGUUUAGGUCCUCCAGCAGCAGGCUUCUUCCUAGAGAGGGAGGAAGAGAACCAGUCCUGAUAACAUCAAACCCAGUGGUACUAACCUAUAUAUGCCAGGUGAGGGGGUUGGCCCAUCCAUGCCUCCUCUUCCACAAUAGAAGGAUAAACAGACCCCAUAACAGUGAUGCCACUCCCCCCCCCCCCCCAGGCAGCUACAUCCCUCUCUCUCCCCCUCUCUAUUCUCUACUCUCCGCCCAUCUGAUUUUCCUCCCAUAAACUAGAUGACAUAGCGUAGAGAGCUGCCAGAGAACCUUCUCGCCUGUUGGACUCACAGCCUUUCUCCCAGCCUCCUCGCCAGACUGUCUGUGACCUCCAGAGCAGAAUCUACCCAUCCAUCUAUUCAUUAAUCCAUCCACCCCUCUGGAGCAGACCUAUGUAGCUGAACCAACAACCACCACAGCACAGCGAGGGCUAAGCAGGGGGGGUGUAACGAUCCAUCAAACCAUCUCCAUCACUGGUCUUCCUGAGGACACCUCCAGAAUUACCCUCUUAACUGAAGAGCUUUGCCCAGAAUUGAUCACUCUGCCUGGGGCAUUUGCAGCCUCAACCCAGCCUCUCCAUGUCGAGUGAAACCAUGGACCUGGUCAACAACCGCGGCCUCAACCUGAUGCUCAACUUCCUCCUCAUCGUCAUCAUGCUGCUCCUCAUGCUUGUCCUGGUCAAACUCAUGUAACCUCUGACAUACAGUAUGACCUCAUGGCAUAGGUUGAGCAAUUCCAGUCCCCAAGGGCCACAGGGUCUGAUGGGAGUCCCUCUACCUCUGAUUUGAUCAUAUAAAUACACAAUGGCUUCAACUAAUUAUUAUUCAACAGUUCACAUCAAAAAUCACUGAAUAAAGGCCAUUGAACCUGUUGGGAGUAGAACUAAACAUUGUGAGCUUUUGGAGAGUAGAAAAGAAUUUGGGAUUCCAUGAGAUCGUUACAUGGGAUGGCAAGAUUCAAAAUAUCAAUUAACAGGAGGAUGAAACUCCACCCACAGAUGGUAAAGAAAUGAAAUAACAUUGACAUGGCAUGAUCAAUAGAACGCCCUCCUUUACAUUUAGUUUACCUCCCUCUAGUGGUAGAAUCACCAAACUGCACCACCAUCUACUUCUGGCCAGGGCACUGAGCACAGAGAUAAACCCAUGCUCUCUGUUCCUCAUUCUAGAGUUGUGGUUGAUAUGAGCCAUAGAGAACAAUCAUUUUCAAAGCUUUAACGCUCACAGUCACCGACUAUUCUAAGCUAUUAGGACCAAAGCACAUGUUACAAAUGACAACUGAAAUGUAACUGAAAACGGUUAAAGCCAGACACCGACCGUCCUUUUCCGUGUGUUAUGAGUUGUUUGUGUAACUGUUGAGUGAAGCCUAGGCUCCUUCCCUUUGGAGACUCAGGUUGCUCUUGAACUAGUAGCUGAUAAGUACAACAGAUACUUGGCUGAAUAAACAUGGGUACGUAACAGCCUAAGCGUGUAAACCUUUCAGUGAAAUAUGUAAUAUUGUUACUACAAUAUCCGAACAUAACUGUGUGCUGUAGUGAUAAUGUUUUCGUGUUCAGUAGUAGUAGUUGGUUUGUUUUGGCAGAGUAAUGAACAGAGUAAAUAGAGCAAACACCUCCAGCUAAACACAGGGAUGCUCUCUGCAGUGUGAAGAAACAUGCAUGACCACUGCAGAACUGUUGUAGUGUUGACUGUCUGCAGGCGCUGGCUCCACUUUACACUUUCUUAUGUCGCACAACAGCAUUUUCUAAAGAAUGUUAUAAAAUAAAGAUAAAAUACACAAACUAUAAA